UUCAAGACUGAAAGGAAGACAUCCAGAUGGACUCUAUGCAGGGCCACGUGGAACUUGCCUGUAGCUCUGGGGAAAGCUGAAAUGAGUGUGAUUCAAUAAAUUCUACAAAGCUGCAGAAUACUAUAGUCAUUCUAUAGCUGGAAUAUUUCCUCAGCCAGUUCUGGGGAAAGAUAAGGAGAAGCCUUUUGAAACAAAGUCAGCUGCUGCUCAUGAGUGACUGCUCAGAUCAGUGUUCCAAGUGGAAGAAAUGCGGUUUUCAGCAACUUUGGAAGUCCAAGUACAUGACUCUUCUUCAGCUCAGCAGGCCACAGCGUGCAAUACAGGCCAUGUCUGCUAACAAUGGCACCAUGCUAGCAAGGAGAAAGUGGAGAGGUGUCUCUGGAGGUGGCUGUGCCUGGACUUCACAGCCUGUGUAAGUCCUUUUCCUGACCUUCUGCCUUCCAGACUGAUACAGCCUCCAUUCAGUGCCCUACCAAGGCCCACUCUUCUGCUGUGUGGAGUGAUCAGCUCAUGAAGGCAAUGCAGCUCAUUCUCCCCACCCCAGUGAACUCUACCUCUGUCCUACACCAAAGCCCCCUUUCCACUGACACUGUGUGUAGGGGGAAACACUCUACUUCUCCUUGUCCUGAGAAAGGCUAGUGUGCAGCUUCUGAGAAAGCCCAGCUUCAGCUAUUCAGCAGUGUGAGAGGGCUUACA